rnacentral:rRNA from 1 species
AGCGUGCGCAGGCGGUUAUGUAAGACAGAUGUGAAAUCCCCGGGCUCAACCUGGGAACUGCAUUUGUGACUGCAUGGCUAGAGUACGGUAGAGGGGGAGUGGAAUUCCGCGUGUAGCAGUGAAAUGCGUAGAUAUGCGGAGGAACACCGAUGGCGAAGGCAAUCCCCUCGGACCUGUACUGACGCUCAUGCACGAAAGCGUGGGGAGCAAACAGGAUUAGAUACCCGUGU